rnacentral:rRNA from 1 species
UACAGAGGUCUCAAGCGUUGUUCGGAUUCAUUGGGCGUAAAGGGUGCGUAGGCGGCGCGGUAAGUCGGGUGUGAAAUCUUGGAGCUUAACUCCGAAACUGCAUUCGAUACUGCCGUGCUUGAGGACUGGAGAGGAGACUGGAAUUUACGGUGUAGCGGUGAAAUGCGUAGAUAUCGUAAGGAAGACCAGUGGCGAAGGCGGGUCUCUGGACAGUUCCUGACGCUGAAGCACGAAG